AAAAAUACUCUUACUUUUUUAUUUUUAAUUUAUUUGGAGAAAUAUCUUUAUAUUUAGUAAUAUUUUGAAUAAUGUUUUUUAGUAAUAGCUUAUUAGUACCGUGAGGUAAUUGAUGAAAUAUUUUGAAAUACUUAUUUUUAUUUAAGUAUAUUUUGUUAGUAGUACCUUUUGUAUCAGGGUUGAUUUAUUUUAUUUAAUUUAU
rnacentral:rRNA from 1 species